UUUAUGUGUAAUGCAUGUAAUAUGAGUGGGUUGCGUUAAUCGGGGCAAACCAGAUUCGGACGAAGGUGCAAACCUUGAUCCACUUACGAUCUGGUAUCCUUAAAGAAGGGUAGAUUUACGUGGUCCGGGGCACUACCAUUCAUCUCACAAAGGGAUUCAUCUCAUCGAUACCACAUCCCCUGUUAUAAAUGGCUUGAUAUUAGAGAUGCCCGAGAACCGGAUGAUCGGGAUGGGAGGAGAACUGAUCGGAUCAGGUUGGAUGAAAACAAUAUGAAGAAAUUUUGUAAACCUUUCCAAUUCCUUAUUUUGUAAGACGACGCACUUCCAAUAUUACGAGUAACUGUUAUCGAAUCACCGUAAAUAUCUGAUUUAUAAGCCAUAGGACCUGUGUUAAGUAACAUUACUUCAAUUAUUGCCGAGUUCUUCCCCUUCUUUAUGAAAUCUAUAAAUGAAAACAUUAGAUGCCCCGCGACUAGUAAUAUUUGCUCUUGCACCAAGGCCGACCGUCAAUGCUGUUAAUAUCGCACUUUUUCCGCUUCCGUUGCGACCAAUGAUAAAAUUUACAUUUGGAUUUAAUAUUACUUCCAGGGCAUCAUGGCAC